CGGAGGAACUAGGGGCUGAAGGGCUGCAAGACGUCUGUGUCUGUGUGUGUGUGUGGAGGGGUCCAUGCAGGGAAGGAGAUGGGAAACGGGGUGCAAACGGGUGGCGUGAGGGAAGGGUUAGAUCGAAAUAGGCCUCUGGACCCUUCGAGAGCCACUGACUUCAGCAGUAUUUACAGGUGAACACCUGAGCUCUGUGUGGAGACCACAUCUGUGCUGAUGGUGUGAAGUACCACCUUCUCCUCCCUGGUGCUCUCUGACAGAGGUCUUGGUGACACCUUUAUGUUCAUUUCUCCAUUCCUGUGGAGGAAGGAAGCUUCUAUGGGGAGUAUAGUUCUGGUGGUUUUCUUUGAACAGGAGAAGCCACAUGGUUUCUGUUAAGAAAGGAGGGAAAGUAACUCAGUUGUUAAUGCAUUAAUUUUUUCAGAGUGUCAAGAUGAGUUGUGCAUGUGGCUGAGGGUCACUAAACAUUUUUUAAAAGACUUGCAAAGUCAAGUUCUGGCAGUAAUGUAUUGGGCAACUCCAGUGCUGCUGCUGUUGUAAUUGUUUUAAGCAACACAACAAAGCAUCCUGAAUGCAUGUAUGAUACAUACGAACUUGUGACUUCUCUACAGUCAUGGAAGUCCAAAGGUUGGUUUAAUAAAGUUGGUGUUCCUUGAAAAAAA